AAACACACUGUUUAGAUUUGAAUUGAUUGUUAAAGUAAAACCACUGUAACAAGCAUCAUUUAGUUUUUGCUGCUUGUUUUCGGUCAUGGACACGUGGCUCAGCUGCUUCCUUCUGUCUCUAGUGAUGGCUGGAGCUCUGUCUGCUCCGCGGCUGGACAGAGCCCAUCACAGCUCCGUGGAGCUGCAGCCUCUCUUUGACUCGGUCAAACAGCAUCACGGCCUCGCUGCUGAGUUUGGGGCGAGGGCGGAUUCUGAGCAGCGCUACCAGGCUGAUCUGCAGGAUGAAUACUACUAGACAGCUGCCAGCACAAACAACACGCGCUGCUGUCUUUACUGGAUCCACCUUCUAGUACCAGUACUGUAGUAGCAAAGUUUAAACGAUCACAAUUAAAGAUUACAGUAAAAUGUUUCUAUCACAA